AUGAUGAUGGUGGUGCUUAGCCGAUUCACAUAAUCUAAACAAAAUCCUCACAAAAUCUCAACAAGAUCCUCACAAGAUCUUGCAAGAUCUCAAACUCCCAUACCCCCUCCUUUUUUUCUACACUCACACAAACCACAAAAACCAAUGCCUGCCUUCCCCUUCUCUCUCGAUAUAAACAUCAGACAACACACACAACAAUGGAGAUCAGACUUCAACUUCAUCACAUGACAAAAACCCACCCCUGCUCUCUUCUCCCUCUCGUUCUCUAGCCGACAGCCAGAGUAAAUACGACCGGUGUCGGCCACGUUCCAGCUAACCACCACAAACACCACCCUCCUCCUCCCUGUCGCACACCUACACACCUGUUGUCUUCGAUCAGUGAAACGACCGGCCACCACUACCGUCUGGUGGUGCCGCGACGCUAAACGGAGAGGAGAGAGACGGAGUCGGAGGUGCAGCGCCGCCGCCUUCAAACGGCGGGGGGGGGUGUCGAUGAUGGUGGUGGUGCUUAGCCGGUAGCGGCGACCAUUUGGUUCAUGGUUUCGGGUGCGGUUUUCCGGUGACGGAGAUGGCACGGCGGAUGGGGGGUGUUAUCGGUAUAAUUAGCAGCGACAGUGAAGGUGAAGCUUGGUUUCGGGUCAGAAAUUGGUCCGAGUUGGGUUUGUUUCGAGUCACGACACAACGGGUCUAGGGUCGGUCAGUUUGGUCACUCAGCUUCGGGCUUGGUAUGGUUCAACAGACCUAAGGUUCAGAUGCAGUUCAGUCAACGAGUUAUAUUUCGGCGUUCGGGUCAAGGGUUGGUUCAACUCAGUUUGACUCGGUCAACCCGAGUCAACUCAGCCAACGACAGUCAGCGGUUCGGUCAUCUGGUCAACACAGUGAGUUGACUUGGUCAACUCAACCGAACGAAGGCAGCGCGAAAGACUUGGUAAAGAUUUAGGACGCGAUUAUUAUUUACGUUAAUUAGUUCUUAUAACUAUACGUGAAAAGCGAGCUCUCGAACUGAAUUUAAUAAAGAAUCGUUAUAAAUUUAGUGGUUCCAUAUAUUAGUCGUAUCCAUAAAACUUGUUUCAUUUCGUACAUAUGCAUAUAUAUUGUUGAAAUGUUUGAAUCGUGUGAAUUUUGAUAAAAUAACGACAAUUGUCUUGUCGGGGGCGUCCAAAAACAGAGGAAACUCUGCCCGUUUUUCGAGA
rnacentral:lncRNA from 1 species